rnacentral:rRNA from 1 species
GGAAUAUUGGACAAUGGGCGCAAGCCUGAUCCAGCCAUGCCGCGUGAGUGAUGAAGGCCUUAGGGUUGUAAAGCUCUUUCAGUAGGGAAGAUAAUGACGGUAGCGAUAGAAGAAGCUCCGGCUAACUCCGUGCCAGCAGCCGCGGUAAUACGGGGGGAGCGAGCGUUGUUCGGAAUCACUGGGCGUAAAGCGUGCGCAGGCGGAUUGACAAGUCAGAAGUGAAAUCCCGGGGCUCAACCCCGGAACUGCUUUUGAAACUGUUUUUCUAGAGUAUGGUAGAGGUUGGGAGAAUUCCUAGUGUAGAGGUGAAAUUCGUAGAUAUUAGGAGGAAUACCAGUGGCGUAGGCGCCCAACUGGACCAUUACUGACGCUCAGGCACGAAAGCGUGGGGAUCA